AAAUAGAUACCCGGGUAGUCCACGCCGUAAACGAUGAGUGCUAAGUGUUAGAGGGUUUCCGCCCUUUAGUGCUGCAGCUAACGCAUUAAGCACUCCGCCUGGGGAGUACGGUCGCAAGACUGAAACUCAAAGGAAUUGACGGGGGCCCGCACAAGCGGUGGAGCAUGUGGUUUAAUUCGAAGCAACGCGAAGAACCUUACCAGGUCUUGACAUCCCACUGACCGGUAUAGAGAUAUACCUUUCCCUUCGGGGACAGUGGUGACAGGUGGUGCAUGGUUGUCGUCAGCUCGUGUCGUGAGAUGUUGGGUUAAGUCCCGCAACGAGCGCAACCCUUGAUCUUAGUUGCCAGCAUUUAGUUGGGCACUCUAAGGUGACUGCCGGUGACAAACCGGAGGAAGGUGGGGAUGACGUCAAAUCAUCAUGCCCCUUAUGACCUGGGCUACACACGUGCUACAAUGGAUGGUACAAAGGGCUGCAAGACUGCGAAGUCAAGCCAAUCCCAUAAAACCAUUCUCUAGUUCGGUAUUGCAGG
rnacentral:rRNA from 1 species